UGCCACAGUCAUCUCACCCUGCAGCCUAAGACUGGUAACUCACUGAAGCUAAGCAGGGCUGAGCCUGGUCAGUACCUGGAUGAGAGACCACUAGGGAACACUAGAUUGCUGUUGGAA
ensembl:rRNA 5S_rRNA 5S ribosomal RNA